UCCCUGUCGGCUAGCUCGGGUCUGGCCCACGGUGACUGUUACCCCUGGGGAAUGGGGCAGCUCUGAUCCAUCCAACGCUGCUGCACUGGAGACUGGGUCAGAAAUCAGGAGUGAGGACUUGUUGAAAGAAAUAGGAAGGAAUCAGGAGAUCACAUAAAUGCUGGCCCCAAAUGUUUGCAUCAUAAACCCAUUGCCUAAUUUUACAGAUGAGAAAAUAAAGCUCUCUAAAUAAC
rnacentral:antisense_RNA from 1 species